GGGGAAUUAGCUGAGUGGCAUAAGUGCCUGCCUUGCAAGCAUGCAGUCAUGAGUUUGAUCCCUGGUACUCUCCC
rfam:Cavia porcellus supercont2_39 genomic scaffold, whole genome shotgun sequence.